CACUAUUGUUUACGACAAGAGUCUGACAAAGGUCUGAUCGGGGCACGACUGCGCAAGCACGUGGACAUCAGCCAGUUAGAACAGCGAGAAGAGUUUAAAAGAGAUGGUUAUUUCUUCAACCAACACACACAAAAAAUGCUGGUGAAUGCAACAUGCCAGGCAGCAUCUAUAGGAAGAGGUUCUUUUAAAGACCCUGACCUGGAGUUACACACUGACUUCGGUUCCAUGUGGGAAUGGGACCCAUUCUCAGGGCCUCAUGACCAUCCGGCUUUUGAUAUCCCAAGGACGCGGCCUGGAAGACAAGUGCGCCUUCAAGAACUGAAUAGAGCCAAAUCCAAGCAACAGGUGUUCAUUAGACGAAAGAAUAUUUCAGGGAGGUAUCAAGAAUGAAAAAUCAAGUGGAAAUUUGACACCAUAAACAAGAAGAAAUUAUCUCUAGAGAUCAGGAACUAAGGGGCACUAAUUUAAAGUAUUUAAUUUAAUUUAAUUUAAUUAAAGCAACCAAAGGUGCAUUAAGGACAUUUUUCCACUGUAAAGUGUAUCAUCCAGAUUGUUCUUGCAUAAUCAGAUAUGGUAAUAAUUUACAAAAUGUGUAAUGCCAUAGAAAAGCCAUCACAAGGCUGGUGUCAAUGAAGAUCUCGGAGGAAAAUUCCUCUCUUUGGAGUCAUGCCAUGAAACACAAAUGAAAAUGAUUUUGGUUGUUAGUGGAUGGGGGUUUAAUCAUUUCAGACCAGGGUCAAUCUCCAUCCAUUCAUCAAUACGUUUCUAGGCCCAAGUAUUUUCAUUUAAGUGAGACUAAUUGUAGAACCCAAUCAAAGACCUGGCACAAGACUGAUGGGCUGAUUGGCUUCUUUGUUGUAUCAUUUAUGUAAAUAUUUAAAUAUUUGGAUAACUAAAACUAAGUGCUGAGUAACUGUGGAAAUAUUACAGAAAUGGAUUAACAAGAGCGUAAAUGCAUUUUUCAUCAUCUUGAAAGCUGCAUCAUAAAUUCACUAACAAAAUGACAGAGUUAACAUUAUAUCUUCAUAAUACUACCAAGUGCAUGCAAAAUUCACAUUUUCAUUAUCUAUUGCUCCUCCCUGAUUUUUUUUUCCCAAUUUUCUAUUUUUUGGUUCAGCAAACUUUUUUUUUCUUUUUUGCAGUAUUUAGCAAAAUCAGUUAAUUUUGGUCAAUGAGAUCUCGCAAUUGUCAGUCUCUGUCAUUUUAUAAAUGUAACUAAUUUGAAAUAGUAAUUCAUGCACAACCGGGAUGCUUACAGCUGAGUCACUAUCCCAGGCUUUCCAUCAAGGCUAAUCGUUUUUGUUUUCAUUUCCUACUUUAUUUAUAGUAUAUUACAAAUCAUUUCAAAAAUGUCGUGGAAGAGUUCUUGCUGCAGGAGCUCUCUCGUGGACCAUCACCUUUGGAAAUCAAUCUGCUGGAUUCAACAUAGGCCCUAAUUUGUAGCAUUGCCCAAACAAUUUUGUGUGUGACAUCUUCCUGUUCCUCAUACUUUUUUGCAUUUGAUAUGCCAUGCUGUGAAAUUCAAGCAGUGACUUUCUGUUUACCACAGAACUAAGAUCUUUAUUUUAUUUACUGAUGAAUUUAGCUUUUUCCAAAUUACUUUUCAGGCAAAGUUUUCAUUUUUUUCAACUGAUCAUAGACAUCUUUGGUUUUUCCAAUUUUUAUCAUUUCUAUUCCAUCACUGAUUAUAGGAUUGGUUAAUUCCUUUAUGAAAGCUAUGUCAGCAUGCUAGAAGGAGAAUGUUGCAUUUAUUGCUGGUAUUAAGUUUUAAAUGAAUAACAGACUACAAUCCUGGAAACAAACACUAGGCCACUGUCUCCUGGAACAUUACAGAUUUCAUCACUUUAGGAGAUCUCCCUUCAACAGCUUCACCUAAUAGAGCGCCAAAACAGUUCCACAAUCAGGAAGGCACAGGUUCACCCAUUGUUUUUGUCUGCUUUCACCUCACCAAACUUAACUCUUUGGUGACUAAGACACUCAUCCAUUUGGUGGAACUAGUUCCUAUCCUUCCAAAUUUCCUUCUACUUCUUUCAUAUCAAAGUUCUAGGCCUCACCAGCAACUUAUACAACUAUAGCAUCCCAACUCCUAUACUCAGGGCUCGAAUCUAUGAAGGCCAAUGUGUCUCCGAAGCCACUUUCAAGGAAUCAUGAAUCUGUAUUCCAAGAUCCCUUUGUUCUCAGUGUCAGUUCUACAAUCGUUUGUCUUGCCAAAGUGCAACAUCUCUCACUUGUCGGCAUUAAAUUCCAUUUUCCAUUUUUCAGCCCUUUUUUCCAGCUGAUCCAGAUCCUGCUGCAAGCUUGGAUGACCUUUCUCGCUGUCCACUACACCCAUUGCGUCACCACAAAUGUGAUCCAGUUUACCACAUUAUCAUCUAAUUCAUUAAUACUGAUAUUAAACAACAACUGACCAAGCACUGAUCCCUCUGGCACACUGCUAGUCACAGGUUUCCAUUUCAGAGAGACUACCAUUGUGUUGCCCUUAAGGCAUUUAUUUAACUUUAUUACAUUUCCGCUUUAAGUAAUUUGUUUGUAACUAUUUUCUAGUUAAAGUUAAAGGUAAAAUUCAUUGACUGUGGUAUAUCGUGGCAUGUUAUGAUGUCACCUCCGGUAUUGUCGCAUCUUGUGGGUAACUUCUGGUUUGGAGAAAGAGGAUAGGUGGGGACCCGCGCGUGCAGCAUGAACGUGAAAAGCUCCGUUUCUAUCCAUAAAGAAACAUUAUAGAAGCAACGCCGUAAGUUCAUGUGACAGUAGACAUGUUGAAGUAAAGAUAUGAACGUGGAUUCUGUUAAAGGAAGCAGCAGAUGGAGCGGCACACGUGCCAGCUUUUCAAUUUCAAACAUGGGGUCGGCUCAAGCCCGGCGGCAGUUUGACAUGACCCUCUCCCUCCCCUGGGUAGCUGAAGGCACUCGCUAAAAGAAAAGAGCACGCAUGGUCUUAAUAAUGAAACAGACACUGUAUAUGUUUGUAUUUUUUUAUCAACAGUUUUCACCAUACAAUGUUAAUGUGGAAGAGUGAACAGUAAAUGG